rnacentral:rRNA from 1 species
AGAGUUUGAUCAUGGCUCAGGACGAACGCUGGCGGCGCGCUUAACACAUGCAAGUCGAACGUGAAGCGGGAGCUUGCUCCCGUGGAAAGUGGCGAACGGGUGCGUAACACGUGAGCAACCUGCCCCGAAGACUGGGAUAACACCGGGAAACCGGUGCUAAUACCGGAUACCUUUUUCCGAUCGCAUGGUUGGAUAAAGAAAUGGAUUCCGCUUCGGGAUGGGCUCGCGGCCUAUCAGCUUGUUGGUGAGGUAACGGCCCACCAAGGCGACGACGGGUAGCUGGUCUGAGAGGACGACCAGCCACACUGGGACUGAGACACGGCCCAGACUCCUACGGGAGGCAGCAGUGGGGAAUCUUGCUCAAUGGGCGAAAGCCUGAAGCAGCGACGCCGCGUGCGGGAUGAAGGCCCUCGGGUUGUAAACCGCUUUCAGCAGGGACGAAAUUGACGGUACCUGCAGAAGAAGGCCCGGCCAACUACGUGCCAGCAGCCGCGGUAAUACGUAGGGGCCUAGCGUUGUCCGGAUUUAUUGGGCGUAAAGAGCUCGUAGGCGGUUUGGUGAGUCGGGUGUGAAAUCUCCACGCUCAACGUGGAGGGGCCACCCGAUACUGCCAUGACUAGAGUCCGGUAGGGGAGUGUGGAAUUCCCGGUGUAGCGGUGAAAUGCGCAGAUAUCGGGAGGAACACCAGUAGCGAAGGCGACACUCUGGGCCGGUACUGACGCUGAGGAGCGAAAGCGUGGGGAGCAAACAGGAUUAGAUACCCUAGUAGUCC